GGAUGGAUGGAUGGAGGGAUGGAUGGAUGGUGACAAGAAGAGGGGACAAUCAGGCCAUUUUGCUCCUCCGUGGUGUGUCUGACCCUCAUCCCGAGCCGAUUCCCGGGAGCCAGGGGGGACAUCCCUGCGCUGCCCGGCGGUGCCAGGCUCCGCUCUGGGCUCCAGGGGGUCGGCAGCUACCGCCUGGCGCUGCAGAGGAUGGUGGGGGACCUGCUGUCCCUGCGCCGCCGCGUCGCCAGCCUGGAGGCAGAGAACGGGCACCUGCGGCACAGCCUGGCACAGCUCCGGGAGCCGGGCCAGCUCCGCGACACCGACCUGGACGUCAUGACCCGGGAGGAGCUGCAGGACAGGCUCGCCACCCUGGCCCGCGAGCUGGCAGCCGGCACGGCGGAGAUGAGGGGGCUGAGGGAUCGCGUCCAGCGGCUGCAGAACGAGCUGAUCCGGAAAAACGACCGGGAGAAGGAGCUGGUGCUGCUGCAGCGGUGCCACCGGCAGCAGCAGCUGGCACUGAGGAGGUGCCAGGACAGGGUGGCCAAGGCCAGGGGACUGGAGCAGGCGCUGCGGCAGCAGGAGAAGGCGAGCGGGGGACACGGGCUUGGGGUGACAAGGACGGAUCUGGGGGCACGAGGAGCCCCUCUGGCCUCUCCGGGCCCUCCACGGGGUGGUCACACAGCCCUGGCAUCGCGCUGGGCACACGGGGACAGCUGUGCCCUCCGCGCAGGUGAUCGAGGCCAUGGAGCGGGUGCUGCGGGAGAAGCCGGCCGGGCUGGGCAGGAGCACGGAGAGAGCCGCGGGUGGGUUCAGGAGGGGACAGGGACCCUCAGGGAUGCCCCCAACCCUCAAGGAUGUCCCCAAGCCAGCUGGGAGCUCCCUGGGAUGGUCCAGGGCAGGAGCAUGGAGGGACCCGCGGGUGGGUGCGGAGGGGACAGGGACCCUCAGGGAUGUCCCCAAGCCUCCCUGCCGUGAUCCAUGCCAGGGGAUCCGUCAUUCCCGAGCCCCUCAGCCCCAAUCCCCGGGCAUGGGAGUGGCCGGGGCUCGCUGUCGGCCCCAUCCCUGCUCGGCGAGAGGCACAGGACACGUCCCGCUGUCCCCCCACGCCACCCCACAGGUGACAGCCUCUGCGGUGACGCGCUGGCCGCGCUGCUGGCCGAGAACCGGCGGCUGCGGGAGGAGCUGGCCAGACCCCCCCGGGCCGCGGCCGCCGCUGCCCCGCGGGCCCCGGCGCUGCUGGUGAGACUGGGGAGGGGACACGGGGCUGGCACAAGGGACAGAGCCGGCAAACAGCACCGGGGGCGUCUCCUGGGGGGCACCGCCGGCUCCGUGGGGCGGCAGCAGCGGGGAGGGGGGCGAUGCAGCACCGCCUUUGCCAGUCCCGCUCCUUCCGUGCCCACAGGGCGUCCUGGGGGGCACGGAGAAGCUGUGGCUGCUGGCCAGGCUGGAGGAGGCACAAGCCCGCGGGCGGGCGCUGGAGAGGCAGCUGGAGGAGGCGGCCAGGAGGUGGGGCCGGGAGAAGCAGGAGCUGGGGACGCGCCUGCUGGAGCGGGAGCACGGCCUCCCCCUGGCCUCGAAGCUGCCAGCGAUUUCCGUGCCCCCCCGGAGGCCACGCCAGGCGCUGCCCCCCCUGCCCUGAGCGCGCAGAGACGGAGACACCCAGGGCUGGCGCAGAGGAGCUUUUCCAUGGGAUCAGCGACAGAGGGAAUCACGGGCGAAGCGGAACAUUCCCGGGGGUCAGAGGAGCGCGGCCGCGGUCCCGGUGUGAGCCCGGGGACCCCCACGGAGCCGGAGGGACCCCGCGCCCAUCCCGCGCUCCGUGGGGUGGCUCCGCUUUAUCUCCGCCGUGGCGUAAGCGCAGCCUUGAGCCAAGGCGGGGACGCGGCCGCCAAGGAUGUGGCCCUGAAAGCGUCCCAGCUGUCCCCAAACCCCAUCGCGGGGCCGGGACGCGGGGGGUGCCCCCAGAGGGGGUCGGGCUGGGUGUCACUGGGGCGGCGGCGCUCACGCCUGGCACUCCAGGGGCCGCAGGGUCAGCUGGAUGGGUUUGUCCGGGAUCAGGAUGAGGUCGAACUUGGUCCCGAUUUCCACGGCUCUCAUGGUUUCGAUCUUGAAGUUCUCCAGGAUCUGGGGUGAAGCAGGAUAAGAGGGCAUGGAGCUGGAUGGGGUUGGGUGUGGGGCAAGGUGUCCCUGCCCCCCCGAACCAUCCCACGGCUCCCUGGGAGCAGACGCCCGCUGGCCGCCCGCCCCGCUGUCCCCUGCCGUCCGC
rnacentral:lncRNA from 13 species